GAUGAACGCUAGCGGCAGGCUUAACACAUGCAAGUCGAGGGGUAUGGGAAGCUUGCUUCCCAGAGGCCGGCGCACGGGUGCGUAACGCGUAUGCAACCUACCUUGAACAGGGGGAUAGCCCAGAGAAAUUUGGAUUAAUACCCCAUGGUAUUAUUGGAUGGCAUCAUCUGAUAAUUAAAGUUUCAACGGCUCAAGAUGGG
rnacentral:rRNA from 1 species